AUUGAACGCUGGCGGCAUGCUUUACACAUGCAAGUCGAACGGUAACAGGGAGCUUGCUCCGCUGACGAGUGGCGAACGGGUGAGUAAUGCGUCGGAACGUGCCGAGUAGUGGGGGAUAACGCAUCGAAAGGUGUGCUAAUACCGCAUACGAACUGAGGUUGAAAGUGGGGGACCUUCGGGCCUCACGCUAUUCGAGCGGCCGACGUCUGAUUAGCUAGUUGGUGAGGUAAAGGCUCACCAAGGCGACGAUCAGUAGCGGGUCUGAGAGGAUGAUCCGCCACACUGGGACUGAGACACGGCCCAGACUCCUACGGGAGGCAGCAGUGGGGAAUUUUGGACAAUGGGCGCAAGCCUGAUCCAGCCAAGCCGCGUGCGGGAAGAAGGCCUUCGGGUUGUAAACCGCUUUUGUCAGGGAAGAAAUCUUCUGGGCUAAUACCCUGGGAGGAUGACGGUACCUGAAGAAUAAGCACCGGCUAACUACGUGCCAGCCGCCGCAGUAACAC
rnacentral:rRNA from 1 species